CAGAAUGACACUUGUGUGUAAUUUUCUAAAUUAGUUUCUGCUAUGCCCUCUUGUAGAUAGUUGGAAAGUUGAUAUUUUUAAUUUUACUAGUGUAAUUGUCUGUUCUUCAAUUGGGGGUGGUUUGGUUCUGGUAAUUUCUUGGGGAUGAAUUUAUAAUUGAUGAUGCUUCUAUUCUCUGUUCCUUUUUGUGGGAUUGUGGUUGAUGAUAAGUCACUGACUAAUUUCAAUUCCGUUGAUGGCAGAGAACUGUUUCUUUGUUUUUUUUCUUUGAUCAUUGACCUACCCUUCCGGCCAUUUCAAUUGCACUUCCCUUUUACAAUCUAUUCUUUUGUGGUCUUCUAUUUGAUUACAAAGAGUUCAGAAUUUGGGGGAUAGAAUUGGUCGAUAGUAUUCUGUAUUUUGCCAGAAAGAAAUAAUAACAAUUAUUUCUCCAACCUUAUCUUGGCUGCUUUAUUUCGGGUGGAGGCUAUGGGGCCUAAACUGGCUGAGCACAAUCAAUCAAAGAUAUGAGUGGAUUUGAUGCUUUAUUUUGUAGACAAUAUAAUGCUCCAACUUUGACUACCAAAAAAAAAAAAAAAACUUUUACUACACCUUGCUAAUUGGCCAUAUUUACUUUUGGUGAUCAAUCCUCUUCCUACCACGUACCUUCUGAGUUCUUAAUGUGGUUUUUGUAGUUUCUUCUUCACUUUUUUGUUGUUGCUCUCUUGCUUCUUAUCUUUUGGAGCCUCUGCAUCACUUCCUUCAGCUGAACCAGCUUCUGCUUCUUUUUUCAUGGUGUAUACACCCUCUGAUGCAUGAAAGUUUCAAAGUUUCCGAUCCCCUUCACAUUUUUCAGAAACAGAAAUUUAUCACAACUAUUCCUUUCCCACCUUUACUCUUCUUUUCAACUUGGUUCCAAGCCUUAUUUUCUUCCUAUAAGAAAAUCCAUUUGCCGUCUGCCACUCCACAAGCCCAAAUCCCAAAGGAGAGUCAAGCCUUUGAAGUCUGCAGAGUCAAUUAGUCAAAUUUGGUGGUUUUCAAUUGCCUUGAGCUCCCAAACACCUUCUGCACUGGGGAGUUAAGCAUACAUCAACAGAUCUUUUAAGUUUCUCGGCAUCCCUCUCUGUAACCAAAGAACCUCUGCAUCUCUUCCAUCAGCUGAACCAGCUUCUGCCUCUCUUUUUUUCCUGCUGGACAUAAGAAAUGACAGACUAGAACUAAUAUCCGUAAAAGGGAAUAUGGCCAUUACCCGUUGAGACUCAGUGGAGAGGAGACAAUGACGUAUAAUAUUGUUUGGCAAGAUAAGCGAACAAAAUACUGCUGAGGAGUGCAGAAAACUUGCCCAAAAUUGGAACAUGGGGGAACUCCAUGAUAUCUAUGGCUUAUGAGCAGGUUUGUUCUCAUUAUCAUGCAUGGGUUAGCAAGACUGAUGUCCAUGUUUCCAUAGUUGUCCCGUCUAUGAAGGCACAACUGUUGAGGAACAAAAGGAAAGAUGGUAAUUUGAUACUACCAUUGUCCACCUAACUACUACAUUAUUGUCAAUUAAGUAUUUGAUGUGUUGUUAAGUUAAUAACAUUAUUGCUCUGAGCAUUUUGGUUCCAAUUGCUUUGUUUUCUUGUUGCAUAUAAAUUAUACAUUGUCCUAAUUAUUUUGAAGACAAGAACAGAAGGGAGAAAAAGAUUUUAGUUUGCUUAAUUAGCUCAAUGAUCAUAAAAAACUGACUAAACCAUGCCUUUGGAUAGUUUUCAGUGAGUCUACUUCUUUUGGAUCUAAUUGAUUUUUUAUUUUUAUUGGGUACAUGAUGAUCACGAUGAUACAUGAUGAAUGUAUUUUAUAGCAGACUAUAGUGUUCUUCAAAUUAUGUCAUUCAGAUUGGUCGCACAUAAGUAUGGUAUUGCGUGACCGCACUUAAAUUUGAAGAUGAAAGAUGCAUUUAGUUUUGCAGAAAUGAAAGCAAGAAUUGAUGUGUGUAAAUAUUUCUGCAAGAAUUGAUGUGCGUAAACAUCAAGUUAAAUUCAUUGUAAUUUAGACAAGAACAUGAACGCUGUUCAAUGAAAAAUCAGAGAGCAAUCGAGGUAUGAUCUGAAGUUUGGAAAGAUGAGAAUUGGUGUUAUACACUUUGAUCGUAAGAGUUGUAAUUCAUUAGGCUUGCGUUGAUGAGACAUACAGAAUAGAUCUGGUUGGGAAUACGAUUUCAAAUGCAUCAAAUUGAAAUUCCUAUUUCCAUUUCAACAUUUUAUUGGUCCAUUUGUUGGAAUUAAUGUACUUUCUCCUUAACUCUAGAGUCUUCUGUUUAUCUCUUGAUUUGUAUUUAUGAAGUAGUUGGCUGUUGUAACAGCCUAAGUUAAUGAUGUAUUAGAGUCCCGAUGAGUGUCUUGGGUUCUCUAAAAUAGAAUUGUCUAGAGU